rnacentral:pre_miRNA from 1 species
UUUUAGGAAUGAACAGAAAGUGGUUUCUUGAGAUGGAAUCUACUCCUCGUGAAGAUGCUGUGAA